rnacentral:rRNA from 1 species
GACAGAGGUGCCGAGCGUUAGGCGGAAUCACUGGGCUUAAAGCGUGUGUAGGCGGACCGUUAAGUACCUUGUGAAAUCCCCCGGCUCAACCGGGGAACGGCUGGGUAUACUGGCGGUCUUGAGCCAUCCAGGGGCAGUCGGAACAGACGGUGGAGCGGUGAAAUGCGUAGAUAUCAGGAGGAACACCGAUUGCGAAGGCAGCUCGCUGGGACGUUACUGACGCUGAGACGCGAAAGCGUGGGGAGCAAACAGG